rnacentral:rRNA from 1 species
GACGAACGCUGGCGGCGUGCCUUAUACAUGCAAGUCGAACGGAGCGGCGGACGGGUGAGUAAUGCCUAGGAAUCUGCCUGGUAGUGGGGGAUAACGUCCGGCAACGGGCGCUAAUACCGCAUACUAUCAGAUGAGCCUAGGUCGGAUUAGCUAGUUGGUGGGGUAAAGGCCUACCAAGGCGACGAUCCGUAACUGGUCUGAGAGGAUGAUCAGUCACACUGGAACUGAGACACGGUCCAGGCUCCUACGGGAGGCAGCAGUGGGGAAUAUUGGACAAUGGGCGAAAGCCUGGACCAGCCAAGCCGCGUGGGUGAAGAAGGUCUUCGGAUUGUAAAGCACUUUAAGUUGGGAGGCGUUACCAAAAGAAUAAGCACCGGCUAACUUCGUGCCAGCAGCCGCGGUAAUAC